AGUAGAGUGGCUGAGGUCAAUAGGUGAUAGAUUGUAAAUCUAUGAAGGGGAAGUGAUGCCCCUCUACUA
rnacentral:tRNA from 1 species